GCCCUCAGUCGGUGUCGGAGCCCGUGCGCGGGAGCGUCGCUGCUUAAACACCCUUAAACGCACUUGUUUAAGUUGAAAUGAAGAGCAGCACGAGGCAGGAGGGUAGCACGGCAAGCGCCGCCCAGAAGAGGCAACGAGCAGCAAACUCGUAACCCUAAAGCUGCGUUUUACACAGAAUUUAUCCAGGACCAGAACAUGCUGAGGAACAAGGUCUGAGAGAAAACCUUCAUGCUUCACUGAAUAGUCAUUUUUUGUAAUAAAGAAACAUCUUGACUUU